rnacentral:tRNA from 1 species
GUUGCUUUGGUCCAAUGGUAGAACGCUUGUCAUGUAUACAGAAGGUAUGAGUUCGAGUCCCAUGGGUAGCU